GGCUGCGUGCUUAACACAUGCAAGUCGAACGCUGAAGCCCUGGUGCUUGCACCGGGGUGGAUGAGUGGCGAACGGGUGAGUAACACGUGAGUAACCUGCCCCCGACUUCGGGAUAAGCCCGGGAAACUGG
rnacentral:rRNA from 1 species